CAAUAAUUUCAUAUUUGAAGAGUAAUCAGAGAUCAAGUAAUGGUAACAUUGUGCAAAAAUCAAAUCUUGAUACAAAACUUACAAUAAUUAUGCAAUUCUCAAGACAGAUCCACAAUCAAAGAGUACAAAUAACCCAAAAAAAGAAUCUGGUACCUAAAGGCCACGUACCUAUAAACUACAAGAACCCGGAAAAGAACAGGGCUUGAAAGAAAGAACAAGAAUUAGAAAAGCGCCUAAUUUUACAAGCAUGAGAAGGGCUUAGCUUUGGCACCUAAUCUCUAUGUUCAACUGCCUGCCAUCUUUCUAUUAAUAUAACAUCUCCAAAUUCUUGUCCAGAUUGGGUGUAGUACUGCUAUUUCAUUUUCUCAAUCAUAUUACAUAUGAUUUGUCUUUUCCAACUAUCCCACUAUUAAUAUGAUUUAAAAGUACUUGUCUCUUAUUCUUCAAAUUCCUCAAAUUGCAUCUAUAAAAAGCAAAUGAAGAUGAACUUAUCUAUUUCUAAUUAGUGCACCCCACCCUACGCUAAGAAAGUGAAAUAAAACAAAAUAAAGAAUCUUUGCCUCAAGCUCUACGACACAGAAACGAAAAAAGAUCUUAGAUAAAACAAUAAUCACAUUGGUUAGAGUAAAUGCAAUCUUCCAUUCAUCAACUAGGAUCAACAAAUUAGAGUAAAUGCAACAAUGGAACAUCAUAUUUAUCUGCACAAGUAGAUUGCAUGCCCAGGCCUAUUAAGAAAUGUACUCGCCCCUAAGAUGGCCAGCCCCCGAGGCCAAUAUGCAGGGGAGAAAUGAAGCAGCAGAAAAAAGGCCAAAAUAAUAUACUAAAGUGACCGGUUAAUAUUGAUUUAUUUUUCUGUAAAAAAACAUAGAGAUAAGUAUAUCUACUUAUAAAAAUGAACAUACAAAGUGAAAAUUGAAGGCUUAAAUCACUGAUUCUUAUCCAACCAUUUGUCGAGUCCACUUGCUAGUGGAAUGCUUAAAUCACUAAUUCUUACUGAUAUUAGUACACGUGCCCAUCCAGUCAUACAUUUUGUCCAAGUGAACCCAAAUAUUAGUAUCAGCAGUCCCCAGCGGCUACAUUUAAAAAUCCUCAUCCAUCAGCCUUAACCAGCCACCUCUGCAAAUGCAUGAACCCAACCACACGCCCCACUCCUAUAAAAGCCACUCAUCCACUCUUCACACUCAAUCCUCACUUCAAUCCCUUUUCUCAUGUGAGCACAAAAAGACUGCGAACGCAGAAUUUCAAGAAUUGAAAAUGCCUUCGCAGUGCUUGCCUCUAGUCUCCAAAUGCACAAUUUUCCUAGCCCAUAAAUCCAAUUUGGGUGUCCUUAAACUUUCUGUUUCGGACCUCCCGUGCUAUCUUGCCACUACACUUAGAAAGGGUGUUUGUUUACCCAUCCACCAUUUCCCAUUUAUGAACUCAUUGCUCUAUUCAAAACCAGAUUCAAGAAUUCUAUAGUAGAAAAGUAGAGCAAGAUUGUCAGGACAUCAUUCCAUUUAGUUUGAAAUGGUGGACUUCAUUUCAUAUUCUAUCAAAAAGCCAAAAUGGAAUAAAAAAGGAGCGGUUCAACUACAAGCUUCCAGCCAUUUCCCCUUCUACUAAAAAAUCCCGAGAUGGAUCAAAAUAAUUGUACCCAAAUAAACCCAUUGAGCAAAAUAACAUGCGAUUAACACCUAAAUAAUAAUAAAAAAAACAGUUCAAUCACUAAACCCAUUAAGCAAAAUCACAUUUGAAGCAUAAAUAAGACGAAAAUCGCAACAAUGAAGAAAUCCUUAAUUUACCUCUUGGGAAUUAUGAAGAAGAAUCGAAGGAAGACCUCUGCUGCUGAGGCUGUUCUUGGGAUGCAAAGUAUUGAGACUUUACUUCAAAGGAUCGGUAACUCAGUUUAAGAGUUUUGGAGGAAAUGAAAGAUUUUCCUUCAAACUAUUGAUAUUUUAGGUGUUUUUCGCAUUUUCAAUUCUUU
rnacentral:lncRNA from 1 species